UGUCAAGCGUUCGUUUCGCCCCUUGUUGCCUAAAAACGGCUGAUAUAGAUGUUAACUUUACAAACCCCAGAACGCUUUAGCUGGCGAACAUCACAAGGUUAUUAAAAAAAUUCACGGUCCUGGGCAAAACGUUGAGUCUCGAACUACAGGCCCUGGCAAUUUCUUCAAAAAAGUCGGAAACACUUUUACGAAGAUGUGCAUUUUGGCCUGGCGCGUAACAAAACCGCAGCGGAGGACACCCAUGAAAACAUCUAGACACAUGACUGGGAGCUGGGAUGGAAGUGCUAGUGCUGUAGGUUUGAAUCCAGAAGAUUUCCUCUUGGAAGACCUUUUCCUGGAGCAGAUAUGGAUGAUUCAUUGUGUCAUUUACGGGGUAUGAAGUACAGGAGUGGUGAUGACGACAGAAAGACCUGUGGGAGUGUGCCCAGAGUCACGCACUCAAGGAAAAGUACCCUGUCAAAAGAAAAAAACUCACGAGGCGUUCCAUUGUUCUUUAUAGUCUUAUGUCACAAUGAUUGAUGGGACAAUGGACUCUGACCCUAAUAGCAACUAAGGUGCACUAAAGACAUCGGUGUACGUGGCACUGCCUAGGCCCAGUUGUCCAGUUCAGCUUGGGGAACCGCUGUUAAACUUUAGGCCAGCAUGAGCUCUGACUUGAAGGUCCCAUCGUUGGUUUGUUUCGUGUAUUACUGCUUACUUUUAAAGUGAUGGAAAGCAAAUGAGUCUGCAUGCCUGACUGGACAUGGCGCAGAGCCUGGGUAAUGUUUAACAUGGGAACUUAUGAGGGAAG